rnacentral:rRNA from 1 species
GACCUCGGAUCAGGUAGGAAUACCCGCUGAACUUAAGCAUAUCAAUAAGCGGAGGAAAAGAAACUAACCAGGAUUCCCCCAGUAACGGCGAGUGAAGCGGGAAGAGCUCAAUAUUGUAAUCGCUUUGGCGAAUUGUAGUCUUGGGAGGGUGUGACCAUCUGGGGCCCCGGUCCAAGUGUCCUUGGAAGAGGUCGUCAUGGAGGGUGACAACCCCGUCUGUGGCUGGGUGCCCCCAGAGUACGGUCUGCUCUCACAGAGUCGAGUUGCUUGGGAUUGCAGCUCAAAGCGGGUGGUAAAUUCCAUCUAAAGCUAAAUAUGGGUGGGAGACCGAUAGCGAACAAGUACCGUGAGGGAAAGAUGAAAAGAACUUUGAAAAGAGAGUCAAACAGUGCUUGAAAUUGCUGAAAGGGAACCGAAGGAGACCAGUGUUGGCGCUGU